AACAGCACUGCGGGGCGGGGAACGGACAGAUGGAGAGACCGAGCUCCAAAACCGGCUCCCGGCGCCCGGGACCAGCCCAGACCGGCCAGCGGGGCCUCGAGUAGAUCAGGCACGAGAGUGUUGGCCGGUUGGGACGCCAGGGACAGAGACGAAGGCGAGCCUGGAGGAGGUCCGGGAGGAGUUCAAGUCCGAAGCCAGGGAUCAGGCCCGUCGCGGCCACCCCGAGAAACCUUUCCGAAACGGUAUCAGAUAUAUCAGUGAAUAAAAGAGACCCCUGUCCAAAGGAGUGAACAUAAAUGUCUCCAGGAACAUUAAUAAAGGAUCACGUUCUCCUUCA